UACGAAGGGGGCUAGCGUUGUUCGGAAUUACUGGGCGUAAAGCGCGUGUAGGCGGGGCUUUAAGUCAGGGGGGAAAUGCCAAGGCUCAACCUUGGAACUGCCUUUGAUACUGGAGAUCUUGAGUCCGGGAGAGGUGAGUGGAACUGCGAGUGUAGAGGUGAAAUUCGUAGAUAUUCGCAAGAACACCAGUGGCGAAGGCGGCUCACUGGCCCGGAACUGACGCUGAGACGCGAAAGCGUGGGGAGCAAACAGG
rnacentral:rRNA from 1 species